AUUUAAAAGGAUGACCGUACCUUGAAGUUAAGAGCGGUUUCAGUUACUGACAUUACUAGAUGUAAGGAGCACCAGAAUGAAAACAGUUGAAAAUACAUUUAACACAGGCGUCUGCGAUUCAUCAAUAACGGCGUUUGAUAACAACAACAACAACAACAGAGAAUUAUCAGAAAAUUAUAACAAGGUGAUCCCUUCUGAAGAACCUUCGUAUUGUCAUAACGAAAUUUCCAACAAACGAUCGGUAAGUGUUCAAUGUAAAUACAUUAUUUUCUUCAUAUUUUGGUGGUGGCUGUCAAUUAGAUGUUCUGAAGUCUGUGGGUAGUUUUGGGACGAAUUGGCAAUAAUAAUUAAAGGACCCGGUUCUUAAUUUGCACAGGAAUCUGCUAAUGAAAUAUUUUGAAUGAUUUUUCACUUAUUUGUUCAACGUAUCCACCACUUUCAUUUUUAUCAAAGAAAUGAUGAGACACUGACCAAGCAUUUAGCAAGUUUUUUUGUUUUUUUUUAACCUACACGAUAUGCCGCUAGUUGUUUCAUAAAUAAAGGGUGAUUUUCAUACUUGAUAUAUGAAUUCAGUCUUCAUUUCUCCGAAGAAAAAUUUAGCUUACUUGUGAAAAAAUUCAAAACGAACAGAUACACAAAAAAAGUAGGAAAAGAGGGAAAUUUUGGCAAAAAACUUACAAGGAGUUCCAGCUAAAAAUCAAUGGGUCUCCUUAUUCGUCAGUUAAUGAUGAUGAUAAUGAUGACUUCUUUAUUAGCUACAAGUAUUCAAAAGAUACAGUACAACAGACAUUAAGACGAGGAUGGUGGUAAAAUACUUAUGGGGUUUGUCAUCUAGUCGUAUUAAAACGUGAGGAGAGAGAAAUUAUAGACAGAUAAAUAUUUAAAAGAAAAACAUGAAAUACACAUUAAAUAAUAAAGAAAAACAGCCAGUAAUCAAAACGAUAUAUACAUUGAAUUUUUAAAAAAAAAAACAAUUUUUAGGGUGACUAAAUUGGACAGCAGCACCCGAUAACUUUGCUCUCCUGCCAUUCCUGGAAUUGAGAUCUGGCACACCCAAUGCUAUUAGCAUUUUCAAGGGGAUGGAUCAGGUUAGGAGUGUUUAAACGUGUUAAGGUUGUCUUUCAUUCAUGCCAUCAUAAAUCUUUUACGAACACUCUCUCGCCCUCAUGUCUGAAUAUUUCACCUAAAAGUUCGCAAAAUCUACUAUAUCUUGGCUUUCUUGUUACCUUAAAUAUUACUUCAUGGAUACUUUCCCCGAAGAGUGGAGCCUCUUAGCCCUUUACGUCGCCGUUUGUAGGGGUUCACUCUUCCCUUUUGAAGUCUUCUUAUAUUUUCAGCCAGGGUUUAUUUUUCGUGAUCCUCAUUUAUCUCCUCUUGGUCAUCGAUGGAAUACCGCACCUGCAGCUGGUGGCUACGGUUGAUGGACGGCUCCCUGCUCACGUGUUUCCAGGAUUGAUUACAGGGUGAUUUCAUUCACUAUUUCUGGGUAGUGAUAGUGUUCUAGAAAUUGGUACCUACUCAUCUUGUUGCUGUCUUAGCUUUUCGAGUUCUGAGCAAAUGGCCCUCCUGGUUUUUACUACCAUUUGUAUAAUAACUAGGCCUUAGCCCUGCUCCAUCAGUUUCGUGUCCUUUGUCAUAGCACCCUCAACUGAGCAGGGAACCUUCAAAUCCAUCUCAAUUCCUCUUAACCACAUGUUGUCACCCCUGCACUUAACACCUGCCCAUAUUGUGACACAAAGCUGACGACCAGUCACAUAUUUACAGAGAUGUAAAUACCCUUGAGUGUCACUUCUGUAUUUCUCUGGCCUAAAUAUUGGGGAUCAAGUGUAUGAAUAGAAGUAUAAAUUACUCUUUUAUCCUGUGUUUUAGUUGAGUCUUCAGUGUUGAAAAUGCAGCAGACUGCCUUAACCUCUCACAGUUGAGAGAAUAUCUCUCGAGACUGUAACAUAAGCCUUGCCCACUUUCAAUCGAGAAAAUAUCUCCCAAUAUUCCUCUCAGGUAUUCUUCCAAUGGCUGUUUCGACAGCAAUUGGAAUCUGCUGUUAUACUUCUUAAGGCACAGAUAAGCCCUCUCUUGGUUUAAGUGACAAUGUCUGGUUUUUACACAACACUCACAGUUAAUUCUUUUUCAUUUUUUUUCCGAGGAAAUAUAUCAAAUCUAAAAUCUCUGUGACGACAGCGACAAGACUAGUUUCUUUAACACCACCGCUAAAUAUAUAUGUAGUAACGCCGUACGCAUGCGUAGUCUCACGCAUGCGUGGAAUUCAACAUACCAAGCUUUCCCGCUUCAUUCUGCCUCUUUCUUGCUGGCCAGCGAUUGAGCAUGGACGUGUUUAGCUGUCUCUCUCCAUCUUUCGGACUUACGCUCGACAGCUCGCUUACAUCUACAUACCAACGUCCCAACAACCAUGCUCACACACACAGAAGCUGUAACAACAAACAAGAGCUAAAGAUGUAUAUAUUUACCACCUGAAUAAAUGUUGUUUAAGUUGAUA